CGGCAGCUACCAUGCAAGUCGAGCGAGACCUUCGGGUCUAGCGGCGGACGGGUGAGUAACGCGUGGGAACGUGCCCUUCCCUACGGAAUAGUCCCGGGAAACUGGGUUUAAUACCGUAUACGCCCUCCGGGGGAAAGAUUUAUCGGAGAAGGAUCGGCCCGCGUUAGAUUAGGUAGUUGGUGGGGUAAUGGCCUACCAAGCCUACGAUCUAUAGCUGGUUUGAGAGGAUGAUCAGCCACACUGGGACUGAGACACGGCCCAGACUCCUACGGGAGGCAGCAGUGGGGAAUCUUAGACAAUGGGGGCAACCCUGAUCUAGCCAUGCCGCGUGAGUGAUGAAGGCCUUAGGGUCGUAAAGCUCUUUCGCUGGGGAAGAUAAUGACUGUACCCAGUAAAGAAACCCCGGCUAACUCCGUGCCAGCAGCCGCGGUAA
rnacentral:rRNA from 1 species